rnacentral:sRNA from 1 species
AGCAGCCGCGGUAAUUCCAGCUCCAAUAGCGUAUAUUAAAGUUGUUGCAGUUAAAAAGCUCGUAGUUGAACUUCGGGGUUUACCCAUUGGUCAGGCUUAAUUGUCUGUACUGGUGAGAUAAAUCUCUACCUUCUGAGGAACUUUCAUGUCAUUAAUUUGGUGUGAUUGGAAAUCAGGACUGUUACUUUGAAAAAUUAGAGUGUUUAAAGCAGGCUAACGUCUGAAUACAUUAGCAUGGAAUAAUGAAAUAGGACGGACUGAUUCUAUUUCGUUGGUUUCUAGGAUCACCGUAAUGAUUAAUAGGGAUAGUUGGGGGCAUUAGUAUUCAAUUGUCAGAGGUGAAAUUCUUGGAUUUAUUGAAGACUAACUACUGCGAAAGCAUUUGCCAAGGAUGUUUUCAUUAAUCAAGAACGAAAGUUAGGGGGAUCGAAGACGAUCAGAUACCGUCGUAGUCUUAACCAUAAACUAUGCCGACUAGGGAUCGGACGAAGUUAAUUUUAUAAUGAA